rnacentral:lncRNA from 1 species
UGUUGAGUAAGAAUUUAAGUGAUCAUUGAUAUAAAUCGUACCUACAGUAUCAUAUCAUAUCAACACGAUAUCUACACGAUACAUAAUUUGAAAUCUCUUUUCUUUGAAAUUGAUAAAUAGCUAUCUUAAUAAAAUGUAAAAGAUUUGAAAAAGAUGUAUAAUAAGCAACUAGAAUAUAAGCGUGCCUACGAAAAUAAAUAUUUCAUGUCAAAAUAGUCGGUACAUACGUAUUUUUGUGACCAGUAUACACCGAGAUCCAAAAAGGUACAGCACACAUCAUAUCCUACCAUGUGAGCAAGUUUUUGGUACGAUCCUGUGUUACCGUGUUCACUUAAAUUUUUGUUCUUGAGAAUGUUUUACAGUCACAUUUAAUAGAUGGUAAAGACAUAUAAAACUUACUUAAACUAUGGAUCAUUGAUUUUGCUAUUCAACCUUUUAAAAUUUUGAUUUUAUUAUCUAAUAUUUUAAUUUGUUUUAUUUAAGUCAGUCAACGAUACUUCAACUUUAAAAUUUAAAUACGUCAUUUAUCUUUAUAGAUAUAUUAGUACAAUUCAUGCAAUUCUCACAACUAUAAAUUUAUUAAGGUAAUUAAUUUAAAUUUUAAAAUUAAGUACUAUUGACUAAAAGAAAUUAAAAAAAAUUGAAAGUUAGGUAAUAAAAUCAAUUUUGAAAGAUUGCAUAGCUUAUUCACAAUGACUCAUAGUUCAAGUUUCAUAUAUUUUUACCUGAAUAGAUUUUCUGCUGAUACCACAACUACACGGCUUUUCACCGCAACUAGAUUCAAAUGUUGCAAAUAACAUCUCCUUACUAAAGAUUUGGAAGCUUAUUUUCAUUUCAACUGUCACUAGAAAUUACUUAUUUUGUUUUGCCAGUGGCACAACUUUUAUAAAUAUUGACAGAGAAACAAUAAGUGCUUUCAACAGUUUCUCAAUGAAACAUGAGCAAAAAUCUAUAAUCUAUAACUCUAUAUUAAUC